CAUAUAAAAGAAGCUGGUGGAGUCGUACGCCUCAGUUCAGACUUGCCGUCACCAAUUUUCCAUCUAUUUGCGACAAACCAGACUAUAGACAUGUCUGAAAUUCUCGGCGAUUUAAGAGCAUUGGCCAUCCUGCCCAUGCCUGAGGAGACCAAUGCCGUCAUUGAGAGAACCUUCGGCCCGUUUGCUUCGUCUCCAACGGCGGUGAUAAGUUUCCAGGUUCUGGAUAAGCGAAAGCUUAUUUUCACCAGAAACUCAUAAAGGACAACUAUUUUUGACGGAGAGCACGACAACUUGGCAACUAAGUUUUCCGCAGUUUUGUGUUUGACGUGGAAAGUGAAAG